UACGUAGGUGACAAGCGUUGUCCGGAAUUACUGGGCGUAAAGAGCGCGCAGGCGGUCGAUCAAGUCGAGUGUGAAAGCCCACGGCUCAACCGUGGAGGGUCAUUGGAAACUGGGAGACUUGAGUGCAGAAGAGGAAAGUGGAAUUCCAUGUGUAGCGGUGAAAUGCGUAGAGAUAUGGAGGAACACCAGUGGCGAAGGCGACUUUCUGGUCUGUAACUGACACUGAGGCGCGAAAGCGUGGGGAGCAAACAGG
rnacentral:rRNA from 1 species